rnacentral:rRNA from 1 species
GGACGAACGCUGGCGGCGUGCUUAACACAUGCAAGUCGAGCGGUAAGGCCCUUCGGGGUACACGAGCGGCGAACGGGUGAGUAACACGUGGGUGAUCUGCCUCGCACUUCGGGAUAAGCCUGGGAAACUGGGUCUAAUACCGGAUAUGACCUCUGGUUGCAUGAUCGGUGGUGGAAAGAUUUAUCGGUGCGAGAUGGGCCCGCGGCCUAUCAGCUUGUUGGUGGGGUAAUGGCCUACCAAGGCGACGACGGGUAGCCGGCCUGAGAGGGCGACCGGCCACACUGGGACUGAGACACGGCCCAGACUCCUACGGGAGGCAGCAGUGGGGAAUAUUGCACAAUGGGCGAAAGCCUGAUGCAGCGACGCCGCGUGAGGGAUGACGGCCUUCGGGUUGUAAACCUCUUUCGACAGGGACGAAGCGCAAGUGACGGUACCUGUAGAAGAAGCACCGGCCAACUACGU